rfam:Triticum urartu cultivar G1812 contig26987, whole genome shotgun sequence.
AACGCCCCGAUAAUCAUGCUCAGACUUGGCGGAACGACAUGAUUUAACGGGGCGUAGGCACAAAACCUAAAAAGGAUAUUAGCACAUGAGACGUGCAACACAACAGCCCGCCAUAAGC